AAAGUCUGACGGAGCAACGCCGCGUGAACGAUGAAGGCCUUCGGGUCGUAAAGUUCUGUUGUUAGGGAAGAACAAGUACCGGAGUAACUGCCGGUACCUUGACGGUACCUAACCAGAAAGCCACGGCUAACUACGUGCCAGCAGCCGCGGUAAUACGUAGGUGGCAAGCGUUGUCCGGAAUUAUUGGGCGUAAAGCGCGCGCAGGCGGUUCCUUAAGUCUGAUGUGAAAGCCCCCGGCUCAACCGGGGAGGGUCAUUGGAAACUGGGGAACUUGAGUACUGAAGAGGAAAGCGGAAUUCCACGUGUAGCGGUGAAAUGCGUAGAGAUGUGGAGGAACACCAGUGGCGAAGGCGGCUUUCUGGUCAGUAACUGACGCUGAGGCGCGAAAGCGUGGGGAGCAAACAGGAUUAGAUACCCUGGUAGUCCACGCCGUAAACGAUGAGUGCUAAGUGUUAGAGGGUUUCCGCCCUUUAGUGCUGCAGCAAACGCAUUAAGCACUCCGCCUGGGGAGUACGGUCGCAAGACUG
rnacentral:rRNA from 1 species